rnacentral:rRNA from 1 species
GGGUUGUGAGGUUAAGCGACUAAGCGUACACGGUGGAUGCCCUGGCAGUCAGAGGCGAUGAAGGACGUGUUAAUCUGCGAUAAGCGUCGGUAAGGUGAUAUGAACCGUUAUAACCGGCGAUUUCCGAAUGGGGAAACCCAGUGUGAUUCGUCACACUAUCAUUAACUGAAUCCAUAGGUUAAUGAGGCGAACCGGGGGAACUGAAACAUCUAAGUACCCCGAGGAAAAGAAAUCAACCGAGAUUCCCCCAGUAGCGGCGAGCGAACGGGGAGCAGCCCAGAGCCUGAAUCAGUAUGUGUGUUAGUGGAAGCGUCUGGAAAGGCGCGCGAUACAGGGUGACAGCCCCGUACACAAAAAUGCACAUGCUGUGAGCUCGAUGAGUAGGGCGGGACACGUGGUAUCCUGUCUGAAUAUGGGGGGACCAUCCUCCAAGGCUAAAUACUCCUGACUGACCGAUAGUGAACCAGUACCGUGAGGGAAAGGCGAAAAGAACCCCGGCGAGGGGAGUGAAAAAGAACCUGAAACCGUGUACGUACAAGCAGUGGGAGCACGCUUAGGCGUGUGACUGCGUACCUUUUGUAUAAUGGGUCAGCGACUUAUAUUCUGUAGCAAGGUUAACCGAAUAGGGGAGCCGAAGGGAAACCGAGUCUUAACUGGGCGUUAAGUUGCAGGGUAUAGACCCGAAACCCGGUGAUCUAGCCAUGGGCAGGUUGAAGGUUGGGUAACACUAACUGGAGGACCGAACCGACUAAUGUUGAAAAAUUAGCGGAUGACUUGUGGCUGGGGGUGAAAGGCCAAUCAAACCGGGAGAUAGCUGGUUCUCCCCGAAAGCUAUUUAGGUAGCGCCUCGUGAAUUCAUCUCCGGGGGUAGAGCACUGUUUCGGCAAGGGGGUCAUCCCGACUUACCAACCCGAUGCAAACUGCGAAUACCGGAGAAUGUUAUCACGGGAGACACACGGCGGGUGCUAACGUCCGUCGUGAAGAGGGAAACAACCCAGACCGCCAGCUAAGGUCCCAAAGUCAUGGUUAAGUGGGAAACGAUGUGGGAAGGCCCAGACAGCCAGGAUGUUGGCUUAGAAGCAGCCAUCAUUUAAAGAAAGCGUAAUAGCUCACUGGUCGAGUCGGCCUGCGCGGAAGAUGUAACGGGGCUAAACCAUGCACCGAAGCUGCGGCAGCGACGCUGAUGCGUUGUUGGGUAGGGGAGCGUUCUGUAAGCCUGUGAAGGUGUGCUGUGAGGCAUGCUGGAGGUAUCAGAAGUGCGAAUGCUGACAUAAGUAACGAUAAAGCGGGUGAAAAGCCCGCUCGCCGGAAGACCAAGGGUUCCUGUCCAACGUUAAUCGGGGCAGGGUGAGUCGACCCCUAAGGCGAGGCCGAAAGGCGUAGUCGAUGGGAAACAGGUUAAUAUUCCUGUACUUGGUGUUACUGCGAAGGGGGGACGGAGAAGGCUAUGUUGGCCGGGCGACGGUUGUCCCGGUUUAAGCGUGUAGGCUGGUUUUCCAGGCAAAUCCGGAAAACUAAGGCUGAGGCGUGAUGACGAGGCACUACGGUGCUGAAGCAACAAAUGCCCUGCUUCCAGGAAAAGCCUCUAAGCAUCAGGUAACAUCAAAUCGUACCCCAAACCGACACAGGUGGUCAGGUAGAGAAUACCAAGGCGCUUGAGAGAACUCGGGUGAAGGAACUAGGCAAAAUGGUGCCGUAACUUCGGGAGAAGGCACGCUGAUAUGUAGGUGAAGUCCCUCGCGGAUGGAGCUGAAAUCAGUCGAAGAUACCAGCUGGCUGCAACUGUUUAUUAAAAACACAGCACUGUGCAAACACGAAAGUGGACGUAUACGGUGUGACGCCUGCCCGGUGCCGGAAGGUUAAUUGAUGGGGUCAGCGCAAGCGAAGCUCUUGAUCGAAGCCCCGGUAAACGGCGGCCGUAACUAUAACGGUCCUAAGGUAGCGAAAUUCCUUGUCGGGUAAGUUCCGACCUGCACGAAUGGCGUAAUGAUGGCCAGGCUGUCUCCACCCGAGACUCAGUGAAAUUGAACUCGCUGUGAAGAUGCAGUGUACCCGCGGCAAGACGGAAAGACCCCGUGAACCUUUACUAUAGCUUGACACUGAACAUUGAGCCUUGAUGUGUAGGAUAGGUGGGAGGCUUUGAAGUGUGGACGCCAGUCUGCAUGGAGCCGACCUUGAAAUACCACCCUUUAAUGUUUGAUGUUCUAACGUUGACCCGUAAUCCGGGUUGCGGACAGUGUCUGGUGGGUAGUUUGACUGGGGCGGUCUCCUCCUAAAGAGUAACGGAGGAGCACGAAGGUUGGCUAAUCCUGGUCGGACAUCAGGAGGUUAGUGCAAUGGCAUAAGCCAGCUUGACUGCGAGCGUGACGGCGCGAGCAGGUGCGAAAGCAGGUCAUAGUGAUCCGGUGGUUCUGAAUGGAAGGGCCAUCGCUCAACGGAUAAAAGGUACUCCGGGGAUAACAGGCUGAUACCGCCCAAGAGUUCAUAUCGACGGCGGUGUUUGGCACCUCGAUGUCGGCUCAUCACAUCCUGGGGCUGAAGUAGGUCCCAAGGGUAUGGCUGUUCGCCAUUUAAAGUGGUACGCGAGCUGGGUUUAGAACGUCGUGAGACAGUUCGGUCCCUAUCUGCCGUGGGCGCUGGAGAACUGAGGGGGGCUGCUCCUAGUACGAGAGGACCGGAGUGGACGCAUCACUGGUGUUCGGGUUGUCAUGCCAAUGGCACUGCCCGGUAGCUAAAUGCGGAAGAGAUAAGUGCUGAAAGCAUCUAAGCACGAAACUUGCCCCGAGAUGAGUUCUCCCUGACCCUUUAAGGGUCCUGAAGGAACGUUGAAGACGACGACGUUGAUAGGCCGGGUGUGUAAGCGCAGCGAUGCGUUGAGCU